rnacentral:rRNA from 1 species
UACAGAGGUCUCAAGCGUUGUUCGGAUUCAUUGGGCGUAAAGGGCGCGUAGGUGGCGCGCUAAGUCGGGUGUGAAAUUUCGGAGCUUAACUCCGAAACUGCAUUCGAUACUGGCGUGCUUGAGGACUGGAGAGGAGACUGGAAUUUACGGUGUAGCAGUGAAAUGCGUAGAUAUCGUAAGGAAGACCAGUGGCGAAGGCGGGUCUCUGGACAGUUCCUGACACUGAGACACGAAGGCCAGGGGAGCAAACGGG